ensembl:snRNA U6 U6 spliceosomal RNA
GUGAUUGCUUCAGCAGCACAUAUACUAAAAUUGGAACAAUACAGAAAUUAGCAUGGCCCCUGCCCAAGUAUGACAUGCAAAUACAUGAAGCAUUCCAUAUUUUU